CUUGAUCGGUAUGUCAUAACGACUCUCGGCAACGGAUAUCUCGGCUCUCGAAUCGAUGAAGAACGUAGCGAAAUGCGAUACGUGGUGUGAAUUGCAGGAUCCCGUGAACCAUCGAGUCUUUGAACGCAAGUUGCGCCCGAAGCCGUCAGGCCGA
rnacentral:rRNA from 1 species